GACAGAGGUGCCAAGCGUUAGGCGGAAUCACUGGGCUUAAAGCGUGUGUAGGCGGAUGCCUAAGUACCUUGUGAAAUCCCACGGCUCAACCGUGGAACUGCUUGGUAUACUGGGUGUCUUGAGCCAUCUAGGGGCUACCGGAACAAAUGGUGGAGCGGUGAAAUGCGUAGAUAUCAUUUGGAACGCCAAUGGUGAAAACAGGUAGCUGGGGAGGUGCUGACGCUGAGACACGAAAGCCAGGGGAGCAAACGGG
rnacentral:rRNA from 1 species